CCUACGGGGGGCUGCAGUGGGGAAUCUUGCGCAAUGCACGACAGUGUGACGCAGCAACGCCGCGUGGGGGAAGAAGGCCUUCGGGUUGUAAACCCCUUUCAGGAGGGACGCGGUACCUCCACAAGAAGCCCCGGCUAACUACGUGCCAGCAGCCGCGGUAAUACGUAGGGGGCAAGCGUUGUCCGGAAUCAUUGGGCGUAAAGAGCGUGUAGGCGGUCCGGUCAGUCGGUUGUGAAAGUCAAGGGCUCAACCCUUGAAUGCCGGCCGAUACUGCAGGGCUAGAGUCCGGAAGAGGUGAGUGGAAUUCCUGGUGUAGCGGUGAAAUGCGCAGAUAUCAGGAGGAACACCAAUGGCGAAGGCAGCUCACUGGCGGUACUGACGCUGAGACGCGAAAGCGUGGGGAGCAAACAGGAUUAGAUACCCUUGUAGUC
rnacentral:rRNA from 1 species